rnacentral:rRNA from 1 species
UACAGAGGUCUCAAGCGUUGUUCGGAUUCAUUGGGCGUAAAGGGUGCGUAGGUGGCGCCGUAAGUCGGGUGUGAAAUUUCGGAGCUUAACUCCGAAACUGCAUUCGAUACUGCGGUGCUUGAGGACUGGAGAGGAGACUGGAAUUCAUGGUGUAGCAGUGAAAUGCGUAGAUAUCAGGAGGAAUACCGAUGGCGAAGGCAGGUCUCUGGGCUGACACUGACGCUCAUGCACGAAAGCGUGGGGAGCAAACAGG